UACAGAGGUCUCAAGCGUUGUUCGGAUUCAUUGGGCGUAAAGGGUGCGUAGGUGGCGUCGUAAGUCGGGGUGUGAAAUUUCGGAGCUUAACUCCGAAACUGCAUUCGAUACUGCGGUGCUUGAGGACUGGAGAGGAGACUGGAAUUUACGGUGUAGCAGUGAAAUGCGUAGAGAUCGUAAGGAAGACCAGUGGCGAAGGCGGGUCUCUGGACAGUUCCUGACACUGAGGCACGAAGGCCAGGGGAGCAAACGGG
rnacentral:rRNA from 1 species